UACGAAGGUCCCAAGCGUUGUUCGGAAUCACUGGGCGUAAAGGGAGCGUAGGCGGCGUGGUAAGUCAGAUGUGAAAUCCCGGGGCUCAACCCCGGAACUGCAUCCGAUACUGCCAUGCUUGAGGGUUGGAGAGGUAGCUGGAAUUCUCGGUGUAGCAGUGAAAUGCGUGGAUAUCGAGAGGAACACUCGUGGCGAAGGCGAGCUACUGGACAGCAUCUGACGCUGAGGCUCGAAGGCUAGGGUAGCGAACGGG
rnacentral:rRNA from 1 species